rnacentral:rRNA from 1 species
UCAGUCGACUCCUACGGGGAGGCAGCAGUGGGGAAUAUUGCACAAUGGGGGAAACCCUGAUGCAGCCAUGCCGCGUGUGUGAAGAAGGCCUUCGGGUUGUAAAGCACUUUCAGUAGGGAGGAAGGUAGUGUAGUUAACACCUGCAUUAUUUGACGUUACCUACAGAAGAAGCACCGGCUAACUCCGUGCCAGCAGCCGCGGUAAUACGGAGGGUGCGAGCGUUAAUCGGAAUUACUGGGCGUAAAGCGCAUGCAGGCGGCCUGUUAAGUCAGAUGUGAAAGCCCGGGGCUUAACCUCGGAAUUGCAUUUGAAACUGGCAGGCUAGAGUCUUGUAGAGGGGGGUAGGAAUUUCAGGUGUAGCGGUGAAAUGCGUAGAGAUCUGAAGGAAUACCAGUGGCGAAGGCGGCCCCCUGGACAAAGACUGACGCUCAGACUGCGAAAGCGUGGGGAGCAAACAGGAUUAGAUACCCCUGGUAG